AUACAGAGAUCAGAGAUCGAUACAGAAAUAGAGCGGGUCAACAUCUUCCUGUUAGUCAAAAACCACCGCCAUCACAAUUUUGGGGGUCAUAAUAUUUUCAAAACCAUUCAUCUCUCUCUCUCACCUCAAAGAUACAAAUCGAGAUCUAGGAGGCAAUCAGAUCAGUGUUUCAAAUUUAGCCCUUGUUGGUGCAUUUAUGACUAAACCGGAAGCUGGGUCACCUGUCACCAAGAUCCCUUCAUAGAAAGGAAAAUGGAGUUUUUGAUUGAAAGCAUGGAUGAUCUCUCAAUGGAACAUAUAUGUUUGUUCUAUUUUUUCUAUCACAGUCUGUCACGUCAACAAGCCUAGCAACAAACAUGGCUUCAAAAGUGAAGGUACCUGCAUUUGAUGUUUGAUAAUGUUACUGUGGAUACUUACAGCUAAGAAUUGGAUCUUUAAGCACAUGUGGCAUGCAUUCUUAUGAUCUUAAUUCACCUUUUACGUGGAUCACCUAUUUAUUAUUGUUUGGCUUCUUGUAUAUGUUUAAUAGGGCUGAAAUAAUGGCCCAUGUUAAGCAUAAAAGUUGGGGGUAUUGGUACUAGAGAUAUUAGAAGUGCUAAUCUUACGUUGCUAGCAAAUUGGAUGUGGAAACUUAAAGACAGGCCUAUGACUUCAUGGGUUAAGGUGGUGGUUCCGAUCAAUGGUAGUUCAAGAGUGGUUGGGCAAUUCCCCCUGAAAGAACGGUAUUUGUGAGAUGUGGAAAGACAUCUGCUCUGUUGAGAAAGAGUUUUAUGCUUUGAGCCUUCCAAUUGGCGACGGGGGUAAAACUAUGUUUUGGAUGGAUAACUGGGUUGAGGGCGGUCCCUUGUGGAGGAGAUUCCCGGCGGUUAAUAAAGAGGUUGUGGUUUCUUAGGGCAGAACGAUAUUGGGCGAGGGAUGGGUCUGGUCUUAGGAAUGGAAAACGAGUUCAGGUUCCGAAGCCUUCUGGUCACAGUUUGACACACUAGCAGCUUGUCUUGGGGCUGUGCAGUGUGUACAAGGUGUACAAGUGUGUUUUAAUAGUGAUUAUAUGACUAAAAAUAAUCAUCUGUAAUAGACGGGGUGCAACAUAUAGUGUUUGAAUAGCUUUUGUUGUUUAAAGUAAUAAUUCGUAAUUAGUAAUGUUUAAAAAAAGGUGAUCAUUUGUUGAAAAUUGUUGUCCCCGCCGCAUCGCGCGGGUUUC
rnacentral:lncRNA from 1 species